rnacentral:rRNA from 1 species
CACGUAGGGCGCAAGCGUUGUCCGGAAUUAUUGGGCGUAAAGAGCUCGUAGGUGGUUUGUUACGUCCGCUGUGAAAUCCUAGGGCUUAACCCUGGGCUUGCAGUGGAUACGGGCAGACUAGAGGUAGGUAGGGGAGAAUGGAAUUCCUGGUGUAGCGGUGAAAUGCGCAGAUAUCAGGAAGAACACCCGUGGCGAAGGCGGCUCUCUGGAACGCAACUGACGCUGAGACGCGAAAGCGUGGGGAGCAAACAGG